ensembl:lncRNA
AUAGAGAUGAGUGAAGUCACCAAGAAAGCCAGGGUAGAUAAAGGGGAAAAGAAGGUCAUGGAGAAGAGGCGGAGCUCGCAAAGGAGACCGAAAAGAAAUGUUUAGGGAGAAGAAGAAGGACCAGGAGCUGGUAUCCUGGAACCCCGGGAGGAAAAUGUUAUGCGGAGGGAGUAAUCAAGUACACAGUGGAAUUUUCCAGAGAUGACACGAUGUGUGACAUUGCAACAGACUGAAGCCACAGCAGAUCUGAGAAUCAUGGGGUCUUCUGCUAAGUCAGACGUUAAAGACAUUUGCAAAUGAAGAAACAAAGCCACUCUCCUAAUUCAUGUGUUUGGAAUGGAAGCUCAGUGUCCCAGGUUGCACCUGCCAGUGGUGCGAAGGCCGGCUGACUGAUGUGGACAUGUGAGCUUGGUGGCUCUGGGGCUCGUGCCUCCACCUGCCCACGCUGCAGCCCCUGGGGCCACCCGUCUCCUUCCAUAUUUCUAGGGCCUUCAAGGGGUCUUACUUGCGUGACUCCAGUCACUUUUAGGUUGUCACCUUGUGAGGUCUGGCUAAGCUGCGUCCACAGGUGCUCCCUCCUGCCGUGAAGCAGCCCUCAGCCCUCCAGUCUCGGUCUCUCCUUGUCCCCCUGGGGUGUGGAGGGCGCCUCCAUCCCCUGCCAGGCGGCCAUGGCCUUGCAGCGCCCUGUUCCGGCUCCCCUGACCUAUGUUCGCUCUGCCCUCUAGGUGGGUCCCUGUGGUGUCCACCUCCUUAGCAGCUGGGGCAGGAUGAGACACCUCUGUCUCUGUGACCCAGACCUCCCAGUGGGUCUCUAUCCUAUGGGAGAGCUGAGAAACGCCUGCCUGGUCCAUGUGCAACUCUCAGAGGGACUGCGGAGUUACAGAAGACCCCUGGUGAGCCAGGGUGGAUGUGGGGGUCCUUGAGCAGAGUGGCCAGGGAAGGGAGCACUAACCUGCCUCCCCAGGGCCCGGUGGCCUAGGCGGGCUGCCCAGGUGGGUUCAGGGCCAGCCUCCUGCCGCUUCUGUUCACCGCACAGGCUCUGUCCCCUCUGCUCAUCUGUCUUCCUCUGCCUCCUUCCCUGCCAUGCCUGCCAUCCGGCAGACAGCUUUCAGUGGGAUUGUGAGCCCCAUUGAAGUCCUUUCCCAUGGUCUGGCUGGGCCCUCAGAACAUCUAGAGAUGUGGCUAGACCCCGAGCCCCAUGAAAAGCGUUCCAGACUCUCCACGAGAGCACCGAGCUUGGUCUGCCCAGAGCCCGCUGGGUCUUGGGGGCUGUCCAACUCCACAGAUGGGCCUCUCUGCCCCUCGGCUUCAGCUGAGCACCAUAUCCGGCUCAGCGCAUACAUAUUUAAAAGAUUGAGGUGUAGUUCGGCAAGCGCACAGAUCUUAAAUGUACAGAUCAGUGAUUUUUGACAAAUAUUUAUGUAUCUGUGUAGCCAACACCACGAUCAAAGUAUAGAACAUUGUCAUUACCCUAGAAAAUUCUCUUCUGUCUUUUUCCAGUCUAUCCACCUCCCCCCACCUCUGCUCUCCAAGUGACCACUAUUCUGAUUUCUAUUCCAAAAGAUUAGGCUUUUUUCCUUUCUCAUUUUGAAUUUCAUAUUAACAUAUCAUGAAGUAUGUACUCUUUUGGAUCUGACUCUUUUAGUUCAAAACACUGAUUUUGAGAUUCUUCCUUGUUUUUGCAUGUAUCAGUAAAUCAUUCCUUUUUUUUUCUUUUUUUUGGAGGAAGAUUAACCCUGAACUAAUAUCCACAGCCAAUCUUUUUUGCUGAGGAAGACUGGCCCAGAGCUAACAUCUGUGCCCAUCUUCCUCAACGUUAUAUGUGGGAUGCCUGCCACAGCAUGGCUUGAUAAGCACUGGGCAAGGCCGUGCCUGGGAUCCCAACAGGCGAACCCUGGGCCACCGAAGUGGAGUGCUCGAACCCAAGUGCUACACCACCGGGCCAGCGCCAAACCAUUCUUUUUUUCUUUUUUUUUUGAGGAAGAUUAGCCUUGAGCUAACGUCUGCUGCCAAUCCUCCUCUUUUUGCUGAGGAAGACUGGCCCUGAGCUAACACCUGUGCCUGUCUUCCUCCACUUUAUAUGUGGGGCCCCUGCCACAACAUGACUUGACAAGCAGUGCCAUGUCCGCACCGGGAUCUGAACCUGCGACUCCUGGGCCACUGAAGCAGAACAUAUGAACUUAACCACUGCACUACUGGGCUGGCCCCACAUUCGGUUUUAAUUGUUGAGUAGUAUUCCGUUGUAUGAGUACACCACACUUUAUCCAUUUUCUUGUUGAGCAUUUGUUGUUUUCAAUUUUUUCUGUUACAAAUAAAAUUGCAAUCAAGGUUCUUG